rnacentral:rRNA from 1 species
GUGGCAGCAGCCGCGGUAAAACCAGCACCUCAAGUGGUCAGGAGGAUUAUUGGGCCUAAAGCAUCCGUAGCCUGUUCUAUAAGUUUCCGGUUAAAUCCAUUAGCUCAACUAAUGGGCUGCCGAAAAUACUGUAGAACUAGGGAGUGGGAGAGGUAGACGGUAUUCGGUAGGAAGGGGUAAAAUCCUUUGAUCUAUUGAGGACCACCUGUGGCGAAGGCGGUCUACCAGAACACGUUCGACGGUGAGGGAUGAAAGCUGGGGGAGCAAACCGGAUUAGAUACCCGGGUAGUCCCAGCUGUAAACGAUGCAGACUCGGUGAUGCCCUGGCUUGUGGCCAGUGCAGUGCCGCAGGGAAGCCGUUAAGUUUGCCGCCUGGGAAGUACGUACGCAAGUAUGAAACUUAAAGGAAUUGGCGGGGGAGCACCACAAGGGGUGAAGCCUGCGGUUCAAUUGGAGUCAACGCCAGAAAUCUUACCCGAAGAGACAGCAGAAUGAAGGUCAAGCUGGAGACUUUACCAGACAAGCUGAGAAGUGGUGCAUGGCCGUCGCCAGCUCGUGCCGUGAGAUGUCCUGUUAAGUCAGGUAACGAGCGAGAUCCCUGCCUCUAGUUGCCACCAUUACUCUCAGGAGUAGUGGGGCGAAUUAGCGGGACCGCCGCAGUUAAUGCGGAGGAAGGAAGGGGCCACGGCAGGUCAGUAUGCCCUGAAACUUUGGGGCCACACGCGGGCUGCAAUGGUAGCGACAAUGGGUUCCGAAUCCGAAAGGAGGAGGCAAUCCUCAAACGCUACCACAGUUAUGAUUGAGGGCUGCAACUCGCCCUCAUGAAUAUGGAAUCCCUAGUAACUGCGUGUCAUUACCGCGCAGUGAAUACGUCCCUGCUCCUUGCACACACCGCCCGUC